UACGUAGGGGGCUAGCGUUAUCCGGAAUUACUGGGCGUAAAGGGUGCGUAGGUGGUUUCUUAAGUCAGAGGUGAAAGGCUACGGCUCAACCGUAGUAAGCCUUUGAAACUGAGAAACUUGAGUGCAGGAGAGGAGAGUAGAAUUCCUAGUGUAGCGGUGAAAUGCGUAGAUAUUAGGAGGAAUACCAGUUGCGAAGGCGGCUCUCUGGACUGUAACUGACACUGAGGCACGAAAGCGUGGGGAGCAAACAGGAUUAGAUACCCGGGUAGUCUCUGAG
rnacentral:rRNA from 1 species